rnacentral:lncRNA from 1 species
UAAACGAAUGAAAUAUAUAAUAUUUUAUCUAUAAUAUAUAGUAUUAUUAAGGAUAUAUAUUAAUAUGUAUAGAGUAACUAUAUUUUCAAAAAUAUAAAAUAGCUAGUACUUCCGACUCUUUGACUCUUAGAUCAAGAAUUGAAUGGGAUAAUAGUGGUCUCCCAAAGGGUUGAGUGAUCACCCUAUAGGAUGAUAGUAUGAAUCCAAGGGCAUGAGGGGUGCUUCCGAGAGCAGUAUAGUCAAACUCUAUUAAUAUAUAUGAGAAUAUGUUAUAUAUCUAACUAAAUAACUAGUUCUCAUAUAAGGAUAUAUAUUAUAAAUAGUAUUAUUAUAUGCAACUAUAUAUAUAUAUAUAGAGAGAGAGAGCUAGGUUACUAUACUAUCGGUAGCACGAAGCGUUCCGUGCUACCAAGUUGUUUUCGAUGAUGUGGCUUCCAAAUCGAUGAUCGGCUCCAUUAGAGUUGAUCUACACUAUUGAAAGUAUUUAAAAACUAAAUUUCAUAAUUUUUCGAUAUCAUUUACCUAUCAAACAAGUAGUCUAAAAUUGAGCGGCUGAAAAUAAAAAUCUCAUAAAAAAUAAUGAUAAAAGAUUUAAAUUCAAGAUCAGAUAUACUGAUCUUAUUCUAAAUAGUGAAAAGAAUUUUCUAUAAAAUUUUCAUCGCAUUUGGAUUGUUUUACACCGUUAAACUCACAAACACACCACAUCGGCCAUUAAAAUUGUCAAUUUUGAGAUCUUUUGAUCACUAGUCAAAUGAUGUCGAAAAAAUU